UUUUUGAAUUGGGAGUUUUCCACGUCAAUCUUUGUGUUGUUAUUUCUCCAUAUAUUUUAUAUUUUCUAGCUUCCAAAUAAAUUUCAGAACAAGGAUCAUGUGCGCAAAUAAAGGAAUUGCUGUCAAUUAACCACAGUUUUUGACAAGGGAAUGGAUAUGAUCUGCUGAAGCUGGGAGGUAUUGACUAUUGAUUAUCUCAUUUUUCUCUUGACCUAAACACUGCAAAGUCUUGCUUCAACAAUUACACCACCGCUGCCGAGAACCUCUUCACUAUCAUUUAGAAUUUUUUUUUUAAUUUUUUUAUCGAGGUCUUGUUUUCUUGUGGAUUUAUCUGAAUUUAUUAUGGUUUGCUAAAUGUGAGUCUUGUGUAUGCCUGUUUCAGACCAGACAUAGCCACCAGUUAUGAAUAUACUUUGCAAAUGCUUCCUAGUUAUUGUUCGCAUAUUAAAUCUUGGAUUCUGUGUUUGCAGCGGCUCUGGAAUUUCAAUACUGGAAAAUUUCUGAAAACUUACACGGGCCAUGCUAAUUCUAAGUAUUGCAUAUCCUCAACAUUUUCUCUGACAAAUGGCAAGUACAUCGUAAGUGGUUCCGAGGAUAAUUGUCUAUACUUAUGGGAGCUUCAGUCCCGUAAAAUAGUUCAAAAGCUGGAAGGUCACACAGAUGCAGUUAUAUCAGUAUCAUGUCACCCGACUAAGAAUAUGAUUGCAUCGGCUGCUCUUGGAAAUGACAAGACGGUGAAGAUUUGGACUCAGGAAGAGGACUGACCUGUUUUCAGCGAAAUAGAAUUCUGUAGCAUAACUGCAUGUGUUCCUAGCUGUCAUUUCCAGCGACCACAAAGGUAAUCUUAUGGUGCUAACAGAGUCACUCUUGUUCACAGAUCUAAGCAAUUUUAGUGUAUUUUUAGGUGACUCGCCUGUGAAGAAAAUUUUAUAAUAACUUAUUCGUGCACGGUUGAUUUUACACCCGUUAUUUUGUGAUUUUGCCUCUUCGAUAGUCUUGCAUCUGAUGGAGAAAUUAAUAUCUAAAUAUGAGCCAGAUUCUCUUAUCUCUGAAUCGUAUGGCAAUAACAAAAGGUGGUGUGAAAAUGAUAAAAUGAUACAAAGUUGGUGCAGUUUCGGUCACAUAGCAGUCAAAAGACAAAAUGACGUGGGC
rnacentral:lncRNA from 1 species